GUAAAAGUCGUAACAAGGUUUCCGUAGGUGAACCUGCGGAAGGAUCAUUAUCGUAUAACAAGAGGCACCCAGGGCUGUCGCUGACCCCUCAGGUCGUGCACGCCUCGAGUGUUUUCUUUCACAUCCAUCUCACCCUUUGUGCACCACCGCGUGGGCCUUUUCUCUUUAAAGAGGGGGGCUUACGUUUCUUUACACAGACACGUCCUUACGUAGAAUGGGUUACCUUUGCGAUCACACGCAAUUAAAACAACUUUCAACAACGGAUCUCUUGGCUCUCGCAUCGAUGAAGAACGCAGCGAAAUGCGAUACGUAAUGUGAAUUGCAGAAUUCAGUGAAUCAUCGAAUCUUUGAACGCACCUUGCGCCCCUUGGCACUCCGAGGGGCACACCCGUUUGAGUGUCGUGAAAUUCUCAACCUCCCUAAUUUGUUUUGGGGAAGGCUUGGAUUUUGGAGGCUUUUGCUGGCCUUUUCGGAAGCCAGCUCCUCUUAAACGGAUUAGUAGGGUCCUCUUUGCCGAUCCCUUGACGUGAUAAGAAUUUUCUUACGUCCGAGGUUCGCGAAGACCUGCUUCCAAUUGUCAUGAUUGAACUCUUUUGACCUCAAAUCGGUGAGACUACCC
rnacentral:rRNA from 1 species